rnacentral:rRNA from 1 species
UACAGAGGUCUCAAGCGCUGUUCGGAUUCAUUGGGCGUAAAGGGUGUGUAGGUGGCGCGCUAAGUCGGGUGUGAAAUUUCGGAGCUUAACUCCGAAACUGCAUUCGAUACUGGCGUGCUUGAGGACUGGAGAGGAGACUGGAAUUCAUGGUGUAGCAGUGAAAUGCGUAGAGAUCAUGAGGAAGACCAGUGGCGAAGGCGGGUCUCUGGACAGUUCCUGACACUGAGACGCGAAAGCGUGGGGAGCAAACAGG